ACGGGAGGCAGCAGUGGGGAAUAUUGGACAAUGGGGGCAACCCUGAUCCAGCCAUGCCGCGUGUGUGAAGAAGGCCUUUUGGUUGUAAAGCACUUUAAGCAGUGAAGAAGACUCCAUGGUUAAUACCCAUGGACGAUGACAUUAGCUGCGGAAUAAGCACCGGCUAACUCUGUGCCAGCAGCCGCGGUAAUACAGAGGGUGCAAGCGUUAAUCGGAAUUACUGGGCGUAAAGCGAGCGUAGGUGGCUUGAUAAGUCAGAUGUGAAUUCCCCGGGCUUAACCUGGGAACUGCAUCUGAUACUGUUAGGCUAGAAUAGGUGAGAGGAAGGUAGAAUUCCAGGUGUAGCGGUGAAAUGCGUAGAGAUCUGGAGGAAUACCGAUGGCGAAGGCAGCCUUCUGGCAUCAUAUUGACACUGAGGUUCGAAAGCGUGGGUAGCAAACAGGAUUAGAUACCCUGGUAGUC
rnacentral:rRNA from 1 species